AACAUGCACCAGAAAAUGAGCACUUUGAUUGGAUGCCAGGAAUGUUAACUGGGAACUAAGCAGAAUGCGGAGAUUCUGAUUCCGUGUUGCUUGAGGACUGGCACUUGUGACAUCUCUAGCUCAGACACAGGGUCAUGGAGGAGACAAGAUCUAACCAGGAGAAAAGAACAAAGAACCUCAUCUAAAAAAAAAAGAAAAUGUCCAUUUCAUCAUUUUUUCCAGGCUAACCUCUAGGUCUAUUUGAUGCAUUUCCUUGGCCCGUCCAUCUGUGUUCCCUGUCUGGGGUAUGUUUUCAGGCCUCUGAGGAUACAUUUCACCCUGGAAGUGGACACAAGCAAUCAGAGUUCAAGAUGUGGUGGGUUCUGAGGAUGCAGGGAUGAACAAGACACAAUCCCUGCUUCAAGGACUUGCACACAGUUGAUGGACAAGGAAGGAGGCCACUGAGUGAAAGGGGAGAGUGCAGAUCCAUUCUACAUAUACCCACCUCUGCUUUGGAAGCAGAACUGAAGCGUGCUGCUGUGAAUUUUAUAAACAAUUCGCCAAGGUGUACACGGUUGUCACCUAUGGACCUUGUGCUGACAUAAAUUGGGGCUCUACACGUGGCAUCUUUCACUUCAGUGUAGUGUGAAAUAUGCCCUGUUGGGACAUUGAUGGAAUACAGUACCUGAUUUUAACUAAACUAACUCUCAGAAAAUAAACACUUGGCUUUAAAAGUUUCCUGCCAAGAAAUAGCAGUUGGAAGAUUUAUGCGGACAGACAAUGUGGAAAUGGCCCAGCUGACCAUGAGCCCAGCACGUAAAUGGGCUCUGGGUCAGCCAUGCUGCGAGGUGCAGCAGUGGUGAUCUGAUCACUUCUGACGAGACGUCAGCCAAAUGAAAAACAUGGAAACGAUGAUUCUUUGAAAUACAUGUUUACAUCCACUGUCAUUAAUCUGCCUCAAAUGUUAGGCUGCAUGUGAGUAGGAAGUCACCAUGAGUAGCAGAAUGUCCAAAAAGUAAGCAUUCAGAAUGAAGACACAAACUUCUAAAAUAGCGUUGGCAUUAUUUUAGGUUGGGUGUCACCCAAUCCACUAUUUUUUUUAAAUGUCAGUGUACAACAAUUAAGAAGCAUCUUUAAGGAUUUCUUAGAAGAAGCAAAAGAUCAUGCAUAUUUUUUCUGUGUUCUUCCUUCUAUGGUAAAAAUGGCUGAAACAGAUGUGGAAAAGAAUACGUUCACAAACUAGAAUGGAUUCCUUGAUCAGCAAAUAGUAUUUAAAGAUGCACAGAAAACAUGGUUGAAGGUUAGAAGAAAUGUGUACAGACGAAUUAUACUGAGUGGGAGGUUUUUUAUGCUUUGGGGUGAAAGUACAGAUGUCUGAGUUAAUGGUAUUACUAGGUUAUUUUUCAAUAAUGAACUUUGUAAGAACAAAGUGUGUGUGUGUGUGUGUGAGAGAGAGAGAGAGAGAGAGAGAGAGAGAGAGAGAG